CAGCUUGGCCAUGUGACCAGCAGAGCCCCUCUCUGCAGAAGACUAUCCACCUCCAUCCUGUUGAAUUUAGAAGUGACCAUUUAUUUGGCCAGUGAGGUUCACAUUGGCAGUGCCUCAUCCAAGAGCCUGGAAAGUCGGUUCAGGGUUCAGCCUGCCUCUUUCUCCUCUGCUGCCAGACUGAGAAGAGGACAGGACACUCCCUCAGCUGGGUCCAAGGGUCAGUUCAGCAUGGAGUGGAUCUCAGAGGAAGCAACAGACAGGGGCUCUGCGUGAGAAACAAACCUCUGCUGGGUAAGCCACCAGAUCUUGGGAGCAGUUUGUUACUUCAACAGAAUUGAGCCUCCCUGACCAACACGAACAGUAGACCUGUCUGCACAUCGGUUAACAGCCAUGGGUUCCAAAGCCAAGUUCUCCCACUAACUGGUUGCACCAGAUCAGUCAACUCCUGAUCACCGCUACCACAACUUGAUCCAGAAAAAGUCCUCUGUUUUCAAACUAAAAAUAAAGGGAUCAGCCCAGAGACUUUGCAAAUCCCUCAGUAACAACAAUCUAUGACCACUAAUUAUCAAGAGGAGACCUGAAUUCUUAAGAGUAUGUCAAUUAAUAUUAGAGGUUAAAAUGCCUACAAGACCCACAGUUACGCUUCAAUACGACCAGUGCCCAGGUUCCGACGGUGGAGAGUGCCUUUGAAAACAUCCCUCGCAGCUGAACCACCAAACCAGAGCUUCCAGGAUCUCCCGGAGACUCGGGUCUAUACCUACAAACCCUCUGCAGCCACCACCUGCAGCUACACAGCGGUGAGCAGGCGAAGAAGAGGAAAGGAACCGGCGGGGACAGAGCGGGAAGAGCCGCUCUCAGAGAGCCCACAAAGCCCGUGGGACGAAAAUGGACUUUUGAACAGCGCCAAAGAAAGGGGGAAAGAGAAAGAAAACGGACUCCGCCCUCCCCACCCGGCUCUGCUCCUUUCAGUUAAAAAAAAAAAAAAAGAAAAGGCCGCCGCCGCCCCAAUCCCUUCGCCCUUCACCCGGGAUGAGGAGCCCGGCUGAAGCCGCGCCCUUUUAGUCCCGCUGCCGUCCAGGCCGGGUCCGGAGUCGCCCACUGAGCCCUGCACCCCCCGCCCCGCCCGCAAACUCGCGGCCUGAGCAUCCCCUUCCCUCCCUCCCUCCCCGGCUCCCUCGCCCCAAUCCCGGGGCACCCGAUUCUCCACGCACCCGCCAUCCCUUCCUCUUCCCGCGCCCCCGCCUCCGGCCUUCCAACCGCAGAGCGCUUUAAGACUUUCACCCACCCGGACAAGGGGGCCCUUUGAAAACUUUGUCUGUGUAUCUAAGGCUUUUGUCCACAUCCUGGGCAGGGCCCGGUUACCGGCGUGGGUGCCGGGUGGUGUCCGGAAUCUCUCAGGGCACUGGGGAAGCCACCACGGAAAUCCCUCUCCUUUAUUUUUGAGCCGGUUUCUGCCACCCUAAGGCACGGCGCUUGAACUAACAAUUCCCACGCCCUGGUCGCCCCUCCGCGCGGGGGAGCCGGGAGGAAAGCCCCGCACCCGGCGCCUUUCUCCACCGCCACCAGAGAAAAGGUGUACGCGGGGAGAGGGAGGCAGCCGAGAAACACCGUGGCCAAAACGACCCCGUUAAAAGAAAAAACAAAAAACAGGGAAGGGGUCCUUUUUCUCCCACAUCCCCAGAACCGGGGCGAUCCACUGUUGCAUCACGUAGUAGCCGAGCCUCCCGGCUCCUCGCCCUCCCCUUCGCCCCAGACGCGCGCCCAAAUUCAUACACACACCUAGAGCCACCGCCGCAGCCGUCCCGC
rnacentral:lncRNA from 1 species